AUGCAAUAACUUAUCUGACAUGAAUAACAGACAGGAGAACUCUGAUAACCUCAGUCCACACAAAAUAUUCUAGCUCGUGAGUGUACUGAAGUACAUUACAUUUGUCUUUCUGCAGAGCCUCAGAGUCUAUCUAGUGACCAGCCCUUACCUUGGAAUACAAGCUAGGUAUGAAAUUAGUCUCCUAAGGUCUUCUUGCCGUAUUCUAUCAUGAUUACUACGUGCUGGAAACGUUAGAAUGGGGCCUCCACGCUUAUCUCUGCCACCUGAAAGGUAUGCAACUUUUUCCUUUAAAAUUGGCAAAACUUCCAUAGCCUUCAUUUCAUCAUUUUUGCGAAACCCAGAUCGGAAGAACGCCGCGAUGUCCGCCGAGUCCUUGGCCGCCUCCUCGGCCCCUUCUCCCCCGCCGCUGCCGGCCGUGCUGGCCGCGGCGGUGGAGGCGGUGGUGGCGGCGCUGCUCAUGGCUGCGGCGUGCGGCGGCGCUUCCUCCGGCUGAGACCCGCCGCCGCCACCCCCGCCGCCCCGCUCCCCUGCGCGGCCGCCGCCGCCUUCACCUCGGCGCGGGCGCGGCUCUCAGGGCGGCAGCCGGAGCGGAGCGGGCGAGCGAUGCGCGGCGGGGGCGGCUGCCGCCGGCCGCAGGGACAUGAAGGUAUGCGCGGAAUGGCAGCGCCGGGAGCGCCCACCCCCCGCAGCCACCUAGGAGGCGGCGUGUGCAUGCAGCGAGCCGGGGCGGGCGGGCGGACGGCAGCCGGAGCGCAGACAAUUGCGGGAGGAGGAGGAGGAGGAGGAGGAGGACGGCAUGGGGAGGGCCAGCAGUCAGCGCAGCGCGGAGUCGGGGGGAGGAGAAAGGGAUGCUCCCAGCCUCUUUUUUUUUUUUCUCCUCUCUCCGAGCGGCUGCGCUAACCGCGGCGGUGCCGGUGGCCGCAGCAGCUGCCGUCCUCCAUCUUGCCUGGGAGGGGAACCGGGAGAGGAAGCGCGACCCCGCCCGAGGAACAAGGGCGGCGGGGGUGGGGGGGGGGGGGGAGAGGGAGGAAGCUCGGGAAUCUCCGGCUGCGUCCGGCGCCGGUCGGGAGGGGGCGGCACCACGGCUGCGCUCCCUGCCGAGACCGCUCUCUAUUGGCUGCGGCCGAGUGGGGGGUGCGGGGUCCAUCCCGGCGGUCGCCGAGAGCCAGGCGGGGUCUGGGGGUUGGAUUAUGUCAUUCUUUUAUUUUUAGCUGCUUUCGGCUUCCCACUUCUCGCGCAACGCCCGCUGCGGCCGCGUGGUUGCGGGCAGGUCGAGCCGAGGGCCGUAGGAGACGGCUGUUAGGGAUCGGACCCACGCGAGGAGAGGGCGCGGGACUGCUCUGUUCCUCCGCUGUGCCUGCUGCUCUCACGGCUCGGACGGGAAUGGGGGACGCGGUUUGGAUGGGGCCCUGGGCAGCCUGGUCCGGUGGGAGGCAGCCCUGUCCACAGCAGGGGGUUGGAGAUUAUCAUCUUUGAGUUAUCUCUAGGAAACAUCAAAGUAUCUUCUAUCAUGGACGAGUCAAAUGAACACAAAGUAAGCAAACAGCCUGUGAUAGAAGGUGCGGUUGGGUGCCUGGUUAAAGCACGUCCUGGUACAGCAGUGGUUCUCAUGUGGCACUACCACAGUAGUUAUCUAAAGGAGAGGUUGGAGGAGGAGUGCUGAAGAAGGCUGUUGAGCACCUUCAGGAACUGAUAAAGCUGAAGAACACUUCUCAAAUGCUUGUAGUAAAUCAUAAGAAACGUUGCUACGUCCGGUUGAAAAUCACAUGGCUUCAAGAAUCAGAUUCCUGAGCCUUUGCUGAGUGUUAAAAGCAAAAGUGACUUCAAGAGAAAGUGGGGCUUUGUUAGUUUAUCGCAGACAGGUGAUGUGGAAGAUGUUUUUCCAAGGCAAUGGGCACAGGAAAGUGUUUCAAAUUAGCAUCCCGCUGGCAGAAGCGGUUGCAACGUGAAUUCCUUUCUAGCCGGCCUAGCAGCAGCCACCAAGCAGAAACCAACUGGAAUAAAUGCUUCUGCUCCUGAGCAAGCUGGAAGCAGACCUGGGAGCAGGAAUUAGAUGAUAUUCUACACCAGCACAGAAUAAACUGUGUGAGAAUGAGAGAAAAUGGGAUCGGUGAAUGAAAAGGGUUAAUAUAAUGAGUAAAGAAAAAAAAUGGAUAUCCUGGAAAUUCCAUAAUUCAAGCUCUUAGUUACUUCAGAGCAAGGUGGUACUCAGAAUUAUUUGUUUUCUGAAUUUAAAUUGACUUUUUAUGUGCAACAGUGGAAAUUAAUGGUUUCCGCUGUUGUUGUCGAUUGUCAUCUGAAGUCAGUUGUGCCAUUACUGGCUUUGCAAGACUGUUCUGUCCAUCAGCUAUUUGAAAAGGGGAUGCUGCCCUUUUUUCUUCUCCACCUUGUUGUUCAUCCAGCAAACUGCACAACUGAUUGCCAGUGGCUGCUGAAAAGCCAAGGUCUGUUUGAAAAAUUUUGAAGGUUGUGGGAGGACUGAAGUUUGUCCCUUCCACUAUCAUCUCUACCUGCUGAAAAGCAGAAGAUGCUUCUUUUGUUUACUACAUGGGUGCCCUGAGCCAUGCCUCCCUCUGGAAGAGCCUCUCAUCUAUACAAAACUGAGGGAAUCUGGAACAGUUCCCAGCUCCAAGGAUUUUGUUUUGUGCAUUGAUUGAUAUCAAGUGGUUGCAAUUUACAUUCUUUACCUGCACUAGAGGCCAUCCUCACAGAGAUGCCUUCAACAGCCAAAUGCAUUCAUAACCUUUGCAGUGUUCAAAAGGACUGUCGCAAUAGUUGUGUUCAUGCUUACAUUCAUGAUACAACAUUUACUGAAGAAUAAAUUAAAUUGAUAAAGAUAGGAAAAUGAUAUUCUGGUUGAGUUACUAAACACUUGUAAUUAAGUAUGGAUAUCAUGCACAAGGUAUUAAUAUUGUGACUUUAGGGAAUCAAGUUUCUUAGUCCAGUUUUUCUUGAUAAUCUUAGUCUUAAAACUUCCCAGGAAGGUGAGGGGAGAGUACAAAUUGUCUAUGUGGAGAACAAUGCAUAUGGAAAAGUUGUGUGAGUUUGCAUACAUUGGAAGCUUGGCAUUAGAGAAUAGCCUUGUUCUCCAUCCUCAGCUCCAGCUUUGCUUCUCUCAGUUUUUGUCAGUCUCCGAUUGCUUUUUGCACCAAUUACAGUGAUAAAGUCAGUAGAAGAAGAAUACUCUUAUUAAAUAAAAUAUUUUAAGGGUACUGUGACCUGCUAAACAUCAAUAUUGCUAAGACUGAGAGACUAUUUUUAAUAAAUUGCUUAACCAGGAUUUUUUAAAUCUAAAUAAAUUGAAAUACUCUUUAUUUUGUGAAUGUACACACAUAUAUAUAAAGGCAUUUGAUUUUAUGGAAGUAAAUUGUUCCAAAAGAUUUACACCUGAGAAAGAUAAAAGCUGUAAAAUGUGUACUGUUUCAUUUGUGUCCUUUGUUUUUCACGUGUGGUGCCUUGGGUUGAACAAUCAUUCUAAAACCAUUAUAUCAGUGCACAAAGAUCUUUAUUCUAGGCAAAGAUACCUCUUGUGAAGAAAGAAGUGUGCACAGUAUGCAGACUGAGAAGUACCACAUGUCACCUCAUGGUUCAUCUCUAAAGGAAUAUGCAAGCUGGAUAUUGCUCAAGUUCUUUUCCUUCACCAUUUGCUGUCCACUUAAUGAAGACAAAGAUUGCCUCGUUUUUGGAAGGCAAUAAAUAAAGAAGAGCAACAGCUGGAAUUUAAGUCACUGAUAUUUGCAAGGUUUCAGGAGAAGUAAACUAGGAACUCCUUCAUUUGGAUGAGCAUCAGACAGGAGAUAACACUGAUCUGUCUGCAUGGCCAGUCGGAGUUGUCUCAUUGCUCAGAAUCAAAAAAGCCUUCAAUUAUGGGAAGGAAAAAAGAGUCAACAGCCAAUUUUUUAGAAUAUAGUUCACUUGUCACAGUCAUUCACAAGUUUUACUACCCACUUUUAUUUGCAAACUAAAACGUAGGCUGUGACAGUGUGAGGAUGAGAGUUCCACAUGGGCAUUUUAAAGGAAAAUAUAUAUGAACUUCCCUUCAACUUAGCCAGCCUGUACGAACUGCUUCUUACUUAUAUUAUUUUUCUGUAGCAGGCUUUUGGCAGGUUCCAAACGAAUCUAUAACGCAGAAGUGCUUGUGAAAAGUUGUAGAGAAUGCCCUACCAGUUGCUACUGUGCUUUUGGGAUGACAAGGCUUCUUUCAAGUUUGUAGCAGUUAAGGAAAGCAACCGAAGUUAUUAAUGUGUAGCACCUCCAAGUUGCUAUCUGGAUUCUUAUCUACAUUGCGCUUGUGUUAUAGAAACAUUUGUCAACUUCAAAUUUUUCUCCAAGCACAAGAUGCAUCUCUGUUAUCUGCAGAGUUGCACUGAGCCAUUUUCUAAGAGUUAUGAUUAUUAUCUCCACAUUCUCUGCAGUAGCUUCUAUCUCUUUUUGAAAGUGCACUGCAGUUGUCUUGAGCGCUGUUAAGUCUGUGUGGUCCCCUUAUGGUAUGUUUGCAAGGGUGGAUAGUGAUAGGACAAGGGGGAAUGGUUUUAAACUGAGACAGGGGAGGUUUAGCUUAGACAUUAGGAGGAAGUUUUUCACACAGAGGGUGGUGACGCACUGAAACAGGUUGCCCAAGGAGGUUGUGGGUGCCCCAUCCCUGGAGGCAUUCAAGGCCAGGCUGGAUGUGGCUCUGGGCAGCCUGGUCUGGUGGUUGGUGACCCUGCACAAAGCAGGGGGGUUGAAACUGGAUGAUCAUUGUGGUCC
rnacentral:lncRNA from 1 species